rnacentral:rRNA from 1 species
CCUACGGGUGGCAGCAGUGAGGAAUAUUGGUCAAUGGGCGCGAGCCUGAACCAGCCAAGUCGCGUGAAGGAUGACGGACCUAUGGUUUGUAAACUUCUUUUAUACGGGAAUAAAGUGAGGCACGUGUUGCUUUUUGUAUGUACCAUAUGAAUAAGCAUCGGCUAACUCCGUGCCAGCAGCCGCGGUAAUACGGAGGAUGCGAGCGUUAUCCGGAUUUAUUGGGUUUAAAGGGUGCGUAGGCGGUAAAUUAAGUCAGCGGUGAAAGUUUGGGGCUCAACCAUCAGAUAGCCGUUGAAACUGGUUGUCUUGAGUGUAUGAGAGGUAGGCGGAAUGCGUGGUGUAGCGGUGAAAUGCAUAGAUAUCACGCAGAACUCCGAUUGCGAAGGCAGCAUACUGGACUUUAACUGACGCUGAUGCACGAAAGUGUGGGGAUCGAACAGGAUUAGAUACCCGUGUAGUC